rnacentral:rRNA from 1 species
UGCGGCGACGUGGGCGGUUCGCUGCCCGCGACGUUGUGAGAAGUCCACCUGAACCUUAUCAUUUAGAGGAAGGAGAAGUCGUAACAAGGUUUUCCGUAGGUGAACCUGCGGAAGGAUCAUUG